GGUGGGAGGGUGGGAAGGGGGCGAGGUUUGAAGAAUGAUGUAGCGGGUAAAAUAUUUACUACUUGUGUGAUAGGUAAGCUAACAGCCCAGACUUUGCCUCUACACAAUUUAUGCAUGUCAGACAUCUGCACUUGAACCCCCUAAAUCUAUCAAAAUAACAAUUAUUAAAAGAAACUAAGCUUCAGAUUUUGUUUUUCUUAUUAUCAUGGUGUCAAAAGAUUGGUUCCAUCUGGAAAAAGUGGUUGCCUACGGUGACAUAAAUAGUUAACACCAGAGGGUGGAAGACCAAAUGCUACCUUGGAGGAGCCCUGAGGGUUCAUUGAACUCUAAAGGACAACGGAAGAGAGAUGCAAGCACUGAGAUGCAGGCAUGUGCAGUGACCUCAUGUGGGACACCAGGCUCGAGGACUCCAGAUUUUCCAGGAGUCCAGAAUGCUUUUCAUCUUUUCUCAUCCCCCACACAAUCUUCUCUUAUGGUGAUGAACUCAAGUUCACAGACUUCAUCUUUUGCAGGUGCACAGAAUAUCCUUCCCUCCAUAUGGCAGCAUGCUCCUCAGUUGCCUCCAUCCUGUGCCUGUCAGCCUAAUUCGGUGCCAACUAAUGCAAUCCGGCUGCAGUUGCUGGAAGCUAAUUUGCCCUCUAAGCACUUUCCUGAGCUGCUGCUUGCUGCUGUUUGAGCAUCAAAAUGGAUGGAUUCCGCACACCUCAUUCCGCAUAUCCUAUUGUGCUGUCAUCCUACACGGGUUCUACGAUUCUUUUAAACCCCCGCCUAUAAUUGCAGUUAUAAUUUUAGAUCUGAGUACCACUAUUUUAAUGCUACAACUUAGGACUCAUUUCACGUGAGAUAGAUUAGCAGACUGCUUCAUAAACCAGAUGACGUCAAAGCCUAUAAAAUCCUUUUUUGAUUGAUUAGAACAUUUCAUUCUCUGUUUCUUUCUGAAUCCUAAAUUUUUCUUCUCCCAAACAACCAGCCAUUAUACUGAAUAUUUGUGUUAGAAAAUCAAGGAUUUCUUAGCAUUAGAAACUCAGCAGUUAGCCAGUAAGAAAGGAGCACUGGAUACACUAAACUUAUCAAGGUAGCUAAAAAUAUGGAAUGUUGUAGAUUUUCUCAUCUCAGGAAUGUUGAAAGGAACAUUUUUAGUCAAAAUAUUUCAUGACAUGUAGCGUCUAUUUGUCAAGACACUGUUAUCAGAAUGACUGCCUUCUCAUAAUUAUGCUCAUGAUUUAAUGUUCCAAAUAAAGCUUUAUUUCUAUUUUACCUAAUUUAUUUG
rnacentral:lncRNA from 13 species